CAGGGAAUCUUGCACAAUGGGCGAAAGCCUGAUGCAGCGACGCCGCGUGGGGGAUGAAGGCCUUAGGGUCGUAAACCCCUUUCAGCAGGGACGAAAAUGACGGUACCUGCAGAAGAAGCCCCGGCCAACUACGUGCCAGCAGCCGCGGUAAGACGUAGGGGGCGAGCGUUGUCCGGAUUUAUUGGGCGUAAAGAGCUCGUAGGCGGUUGCGUAAGUCGGAUGUGAAAACUCAGGGCUCAACCCUGAGACGCCAUCCGAUACUGCGCUGACUUGAAUCCAGUAGGGGAGUGUGGAAUUCCUCGUGUAGCGGUGAAAUGCGCAGAUAUCAGGAGGAACACCCAUGGCGAAGGCAGCACUCUGGGCUGGUAUUGACGCUGAGGAGCGAAAGCAUGGGUAGCGAACAGGAUUAGAUACCCCUGUAGUCCCUGAGCGGGCUGGCAAGGCGCAU
rnacentral:rRNA from 1 species